rnacentral:rRNA from 1 species
AGGGCAGAUGGUGGAUGCCUUGGUAAUACGGAGCCGAUGAAGGACGCAGUAAGCCUGCGAUAGUCUUCGGUGAGGAGCAAACAUCCUGAGACCCGGAGAUAUCCGAAUGGGGAAAUCCCGAUACACCAGAAGUGUAUCAUUCAUGCUUAAAUAAAAUAGAGCAUGAAGGGGAACUAAGUGAACCGAAACAUCCAAGUAACUUAAGGAAAAGAAAGAAAAUUCGAUUCCCUGAGUAGCGGCGAGCGAAAGGGGAACAGCCUAAACCUCUUAAGUGUUAAAGCUUACAGGCCUUGCUUAAGAGGGGUUGUAGGUCUAAAUGUUUCUUAGCUGUAAAUAAGAAGGGAAGUCAAAAAUAAUGCGGAUAGCUGAAUAUCAUGGAAAUGGUAGCCAUAGAAGGUGAAAGCCCUGUAAGCGAAAUCCACAUUACUUCCUAUUUUAGACCUGAGUAUCACGGGACACGUGGAAUCCUGUGAGAAGCUAGGAGGACCAUCUCCUAAGGCUAAAUACUCCGUUGACCGAUAGUGAACAAAGUACCGUGAGGGAAAGGUGAAAAGAACCCCGGGAGGGGAGUGAAAUAGAAUCUGAAACCAUGUUGCCUACAAUCGGUCAGAGCACUAUAUCUAAUGACCCUUAAAAGUUAUUAGAUAGUGUCAUGGCUUGCCUAUUGAAGAAUGAGCCGGGGAGUUUUAUGAAGGAGCAAGGUUAAGAGGUAACCCUCGAAGCCAUAGCGAAAGCGAGUCUGAAUAGGGCGAAUUAGUUUCUUCAUAAAGACCCGAAACCGGGUGAUCUACUUAUGGCCAGGGUGAAGCGAACCUAAGAAUUCGUGGAGGCCCGAACGCAUCGGGGGUGAAAACUCGUGCGAUGAGCUGUGAGUAGGGGAGAAAUUCCAACCGAACCCGGAGAUAGCUGGUUCUCUCCGAAAUGCAUUUAGGUGCAGCUUAAAGAGUUCCUUUCUGGAGGUAGAGCACUGAAAGGGCUAGGAGUCCUACCAGACUACCAAACCCUAUCAAACUCCGAAUGCCAGAAAGUUAAUAUCUUUAAAGUGAGUCUACGGGUAAUAAGAUCCGUGGUCGAAAGGGAAACAACCCAGACCGCCUGCUAAGGUCCCUAAUUGUAAACUAAGUGUAUAUUAAGGAAGUGAGUCUGCCCAGACAGCCAGGAUGUUGGCUUAGAAGCAGCCAUCAUUUAAAGAGUGCGUAACAGCUCACUGGUCGAUGCGGUCUUGCGCCGUAAAUGUUCGGGACUAAGUUUACAACCGAAGCAGCGGGUAGGAAAUAUCAAAAACAAUUUUAGUGUUUCACUUUAAUUACCAAAAUAUUUCCUGCGGUAGGAGAGCGUUCUUGUUUCAGAGAAGGUAUACCGUAAGGAGUGCUGGAGAAACAAGAAGUGAGAAUCCCGGCUUAAGUAGCGAAAAGUAGAGUGAGAAUCUCUGCCACCGAAAGUCUAAGGUUUCCUGGGGAAGGUUCGUCCACCCAGGGUUAGUCGGUCCUAAGUUGAGGCCGAAAGGCGUAGAUGAUGGCUAACGGGUUAAUAUUCCCGUACUAAGUUUUAUCGACAAAGAGGUGAUGGAGGGACGGAGAAGGAUAGGUCAAGCAGGGUUUUGGUUGUCCCUGCCCAAGCAUUAAAGGGUGAUUAAGCAGGCAAAUCCACUUAAUCAUUAGCCCGAUGUGUGAUGGGGAGCCGUAAGGUGAAGUGACUGACUCCAUGCUCCCAAGAAAAUCUUCUAACCAGAUAAAACUUAACCGUACCUCAAUCCAACACAGGUAGACAGGGAGAUAGACUCCUAAGGUGAGCGAAAGAACUCUCGUUAAGGAACUCGGCAAAAAGGCCCCGUAACUUUGGGAGAAGGGGUGCCUAACCAUUACUAAUUAAGCAAUUAGUUAGUAAUGUAGUAGGUUGCAAGAAAUAGGCUCGGGGGACUGUUUAACAAAAACACAGGUUUCUGCUAAGCCGUAAGGCGAUGUAUAGGAGCCGACGCUUGCCCAGUGCUGGAAGGUUACGAGGAGAGGUUAGGGAGGAGCAAUCUUCCCGAAGCUUUGAAUCUAAGCCCCAGUGAACGGCGGCCGUAACUAUAACGGUCCUAAGGUAGCGAAAUACCUUGUCGGGCAAGUUCCGACGCGCAUGAAAAGCGUAACUACCUGAGCGCUGUCUCGACGAGAGAUUCGGUGAAAUAGCAGUUCCCGUGAAGAUGCGGGAUACUUGCGGCAGGACGGGAAGACCCCGUAGAGCUUUACUAUAACUUGGCAUUGAAUUCUGGCAUUUUAUGUACAGGAUAGGUGGGAGACUGGGAAGAAGGAUCGCCAGGUCCUUUGGAGUCGCCCUUGGGAUACCACCCUUAAAAUGUUAGUGUUCUAACGUUUAGCUUUGAAUCAAGCAAAUGGACAGUGUCAGGCGGGUAGUUUGACUGGGGCGGUCGCCUCCUAAAAAGUAACGGAGGCGCACAAAGGUUCCCUCAGCGUGUUUGGAAAUCACGCGUAGAGUGUAAAGGCAUAAGGGAGCUUAACUGCAUAGACUUACAGGUCAAGCAGGUGCGAAAGCAGGUCUUAAUGAUCCGGUGAUACCAUAUGGAAGGGUCAUCGCUCAACGAAUAAAAGCUACCUCGGGGAUAACAGGCUUAUCCUUCCCAAGAGUUCACAUCGACGGGAGGGCUUGGCACCUCGAUGUCGGCUCGUCGCAUCCUGGAGCUGAAGCAGGUUCCAAGGGUUGGGCUGUUCGCCCAUUAAAGCGGCACGCGAGCUGGGUUCAG